CCCAGCCUUUGGUUGGUCCCAUGGCACCCAUGUGAUGGAGGACGUGAUCCAUUAAUGACCACUAAUGCCCGUGAUGUUGUGUAUUAAGCAACGUAAUCCCCUAUUCAAUACUUCCCAGUGUCGAAUAAAAAGUUUGGGUAUUUCAGAAUAAAAUGAUGAAUCUAAAAGAGUAAAUGCUGCGUUUUGAGCUGUAAGACUAAAGGAUCUACUCCUUCUGCUUUGUUUCCAGAGGGGAUGCAAACCAUGAAGACCUCCUUUUCCAUGCCGUAAUCUAAAAGCAUCCAGGAAUGAUUCUGCCCAACAGGUUACAAUGGAGGAAGAAUGCCAACUGGAACAUGUCGAAAAACAAGAUCAUAAGGUUUCACUCAAGUUGCUUAAAUUAUUAUGUAGGAGGUUUUUUUCCAACCUGUCUGUAUUCAGCUCACAUGCUGGGUUGUAUUUAAACAGAAGAUCAACUGAUAAUUGCGGCACCACUGCUGGCGUCGCUGUAGCGAUGAGCCUGCCAGCAUUUCCAGGUUGAAAUUUGGCAUGCAACAGUGCAGCCUGGAAGCCAAUUUUAUUAAAAUGAGUGGGGGAAAAAAGAAUCUGUUUGGCUUCUUUCACUCGAUAAGAAUGU
rnacentral:lncRNA from 1 species